rnacentral:rRNA from 1 species
GUCCACGCAGUAAACUAUGAUUACUAGUUGUUUGCGAUAUGAUAGCAAGUGACUAAGCGAAAGCGAUAAGUAAUCCACCUGGGGAGUACGCCGGCAACGGUGAACUCAAAGGAAUUGACGGGGGCCCGCACAAGCGGAGGAACAUGUGGUUUAAUUCGAUGAUACGCGAGGAACCUUACCCGGGCUUGAAAUGCAUCUGACUGUAGUGGAAACAUUACUUCUAGCAAUAGCAGAUGUGUAGGUGCUGCAUGGUUGUCGU